UGGGGAAUUUUGGACAAUGGGCGCAAGCCUGAUCCAGCCAUGCCGCGUGCGGGAAGAAGGCCGUCGGGUUGUAAACCGCUUUUGUCAGGGAAGAAAUCUUCUGAGUUAAUACCUCGGGAGGAUGACGGUACCUGAAGAAUAAGCACCGGCUAACUACGUGCCAGCAGCCGCGGUAAUACGUAGGGUGCAAGCGUUAAUCGGAAUUACUGGGCGUAAAGCGUGCGCAGGCGGUUUUGUAAGACAGAGGUGAAAUCCCCGGGCUCAACCUGGGAACUGCCUUUGUGACUGCAAGGCUUGAGUGCGGCAGAGGGGGAUGGAAUUCCGCGUGUAGCAGUGAAAUGCGUAGAUAUGCGGAGGAACACCGAUGGCGAAGGCAAUCCCCUGGGCCUGCACUGACGCUCAUGCACGAAAGCGUGGGGAGCAAACAGGAUUAGAUACCCUGGUAGUCCACGCCCUAAACGAUGUCAACUGGUUGUUGGGAAGGUUCCUUCUCAGUAACGUAGCUAACGCGUGAAGUUGACCGCCUGGGGAGUACGGCCGCAAGGUUG
rnacentral:rRNA from 1 species